rfam:Oryza punctata chromosome 12, whole genome shotgun sequence.
CCCGGGCGACUGUUUACCAAAAACACAGGUCUCCGCAAAAUCGUAAGAUCAUGUAUGGGGGCUGACGCCUGCCCAGCGCCGGAAGGUCAAGGAAGUUGGUGAACUGAUGAUAGGGAAGCCGGCAACCAAAGCCCCGGUGAACAGCGGCCGUAACUAUAACGGUCCUAAGGUAGCGAAAUUCCUUGUCAGGUAAGUUCCGACCCGCACGAAAGGCGUAACGAUCUGGG